CUGGAUCCUGCUCAACAACACCCCAUUGUAUAGAGGUUUUUUCACGGCAAGAUCAUUUGUGUAUUUUGAAAUGCUUGGUCAUGACCUGUAUGUGCUAGAGAAAGAAUGGCUUCACAAGUUUACGACAAAACUUUGGCAGUUGGAUAGGCUGGAAGGUUGGAAAGUGUGAUUGGAUGGUACCACUCACACCUUGGUUAUGGAUGAUGGUUGGCAUACAUGCUGGACGACAGUCGGAGCGAG